rnacentral:tRNA from 1 species
GUACGGACUUAAAAUCCGUUGGCUUUAUUGACCGUGAGGGUUCAAGUCCCUCUACCCCC